UCCUCAGUAGCUUAGUGGUAGAGCGGUCGGUUGUUACCCGAUUGGCCGUAGGUUUGAAUUCUACUUGGGGAG
rnacentral:tRNA from 1 species